GACGAACGCUGGCGGCGUGCUUAACACAUGCAAGUCGAACGGAAAGGCCCCUUUGGGGGUACUCGAGUGGCGAACGGGUGAGUAACACGUGAGUAACCUGCCCUUGACUUCGGGAUAACUUCAGGAAACUGGGGCUAAUACCGGAUAGGAAUCCUUGCUGCAUGGUGGGGGUUGGAAAGCUUCGGCGGUUUUGGAUGGACUCGCGGCUUAUCAGCUUGUUGGUGGGGUAGUGGCUUACCAAGGCUUUGACGGGUAGCCGGCCUGAGAGGGCGACCGGCCACAUUGGGACUGAGAUACGGCCCAGACUCCUACGGGAGGCAGCAGUGGGGAAUAUUGCACAAUGGGCGGAAGCCUGAUGCAGCAACGCCGCGUGCGGGAUGACGGCCUUCGGGUUGUAAACCGCUUUCAGCAGGGGCGAAGCUUGUGGUGACGGUAUCUGCAGAAGAAGCACCGGCUAACUACGUG
rnacentral:rRNA from 1 species